ACGCGACGACUGGCGGCGUGCUAACGACAUGCGAAGUCGCGCGCGAAAGCGGCCCUCGGGUCGUGAGUAGAGCGGCGCACGGGUGCGUAAGACGCGGGUGACCUAUCCACGAGGUGGGGAUAACCUUUCGAAAGAGGGGCUAAUACCGGAUGAGCCCACAGGCAGAGAUGCCAGGGGUAAGGGUGCGGUUACUAGGCGCAUCUCUUCGUGGCGGGGCCCGACGGCCUAUCAGCAGUUGGUGUGGUAACGGCACACCAAGGCGAAGACGGGUAGCU
rnacentral:rRNA from 1 species